AUUAUGAUUGAGAAUCUUUCAAAAUAAAACAAAUAUUUAUAAAUUAAUACAUUACAGUUAGUACCUUGUGGUUUUAUAUUUUCUCAUUUUAGUAUCCUGUGAUUUAAAGUGUAUUAAGUUAGUACCCUGUGGUUUUAUUUUUCUCUUUUUAUUAUCUAUUUCACUAUUUUUUUCGUUAAAUCAGUGACAAUGUUAAAAUUAAGGGGUACAAAAGUGAAUAUUCGAUAAACCUAGGUAGGGUAUCUGAAGUUUUAUAUGUAUAUAAUUUAACAAAAUAUUAACGGAGAAAAAAAAAGUGACAAAGUUAAAACUAAAGAGUACUAAAGUAAAUAUUCAAUAAACCUAAAUAGGGUAUCUGAAAUUUUUUUAUAUAUAAUUUAACAAAAUAUUAACGGAGAAAAAAAAAGUGACAAAGUUAAAACUAAAGAGUACUAAAGUAAAUAUUCAAUAAACCUAAAUAGGGUAUCUGAAAUUUUUUUCAUAUAAUUUAACAAAAUAUUAAUAGAGGGGCCGUCGAAAAGAAAAAAAUGAAACCACAGGGUACUAAAUUGAUGCAUUUUAAAUCACAGAAUAUUAAAGUGAAAAAAUACGAGACCAUACAAUACUAAAUUGAUACAUUUUAAAUCACAGAGUACUAAAAUGAAAAAAUACAAAACUAUAUGGGUGGUAUUUGAAAUUUUCCCUUACAUUAAUAACUCUAU
rnacentral:lncRNA from 1 species